UCAGUUCAGCAAAGGGAAGCACGCAAGAAGUUUUAUCAUGGCUCAUUCGUAACAAGGUAGCCGUAAAUUUGGCUUUUAGUGGGGGACAACUUUUCGAAAGGGAUGCUAAUACCGCAUACGUCCUACGGGAGAAAGCAGGGGAUCUUCGGACCUUGCGCUAAUAGAUGAACCUAAGUCGGAUUAGCUAGUUGGUGGGGUAAAGGCCUACCAAGGCGACGAUCUGUAGCGGGUCUGAGAGGAUGAUCCGCCACACUGGGACUGAGACACGGCCCAGACUCCUACGGGAGGCAGCAGUGGGGAAUAUUGGACAAUGGGGGGAACCCUGAUCCAGCCAUGCCGCGUGUGUGAAGAAGGCCUUAUGGUUGUAAAGCACUUUAAGCGAGGAGGAGGGUACUGGUAUUAAUACUACCAGGUACUGGACGUUACUCGCAGAAUAAGCACCGGCUAACUCUGUGCCAGCAGCCGCGGUAAUACAGAGGGUGCGAGCGUUAAUCGGAUUUACUGGGCGUAAAGCGUGCGUAGGCGGCUAAUUGAGUCGGAUGUGAAAUCCCCGAGCUUAACUUGGGAAUUGCAUUCGAUACUGGUUAGCUAGAGUGUGGGAGAGGAUGGUAGAAUUCCAGGUGUAGCGGUGAAAUGCGUACAGAUCUGGAGGAAUACCGAUGGCGAAGGCAGCCAUCUGGCCUAACACUGACGCUGAGGUACGAAAGCAUGGGGAGCAAACAGGAUUAUAUACCCUGGUAGUCCAUGCCGUAAACGAUGUCUACUAGCCGUUGGUCUCUUUGAGGGAUUAGUGGCGCAUCUAACGCGAUAAGUAGACCGCCUGGGGAGUACGGUCGCAAGACUAGAACUCAAUGAAUUGACGGGGCCCGCACAAGCGGUGGAGCAUGUGGUUAAUUCGAUGCAACGCGAAGAACCUUACCUGGUCUUGACAUAGUAGAACUUCACAGAUGGAUGGUGCCUUCAGGACUUACAUACAUGUGCUGCAUGCUGUCGUCACUCGUGUCGUGAGAUGUGGGUAGUCCACCACGACGCACCUUUCUAUUGCAGCACUUUGGGUGGACUUAGGAUCUGCAGUGACAACUGGAGAGGAGGGACGAGUCAGUCAUCAUGGCCUU
rnacentral:rRNA from 1 species